rnacentral:rRNA from 1 species
GAUGAACGCUGGCGGCGUGCCUAAUACAUGCAAGUCGAGCGAACGGACGAGAAGCUUGCUUCUCUGAUGUUAGCGGCGGACGGGUGAGUAACAUGUGGAUAACCUACCUAUAAGACUGGGAUAACUUCGGGAAACCGGAGCUAAUACCGGAUAAUAUUUUGAACCGCAUGGUGCAAAAGUGAAAGACGGUCUUGCUGUCACUUAUAGAUGGAUCCGCGCUGCAUUAGCUAGUUGGUAAGGUAACGGCUUACCAAGGCUACGAUGCAUAGCCGACCUGAGAGGGUGAUCGGCCACACUGGAACUGAGACACGGUCCAGACUCCUACGGGAGGCAGCAGUAGGGAAUCUUCCGCAAUGGGCGAAAGCCUGACGGAGCAACGCCGCGUGAGUGAUGAAGGUCUUCGGAUCGUAAAACUCUGUUAUUAGGAAAGAACAUAUGUGUAAGUACCUGUGCACAUCUUGACGGUACCUAAUCAGAAAGCCACGGCUAACUACGUG